GUUCUCAAACUGGCCGCCGACCCCUCAAACUUCUGCUCCGUUGUGUUUCAGAUCGAACCUUUAGAUGAAAACGACUGCGAAGAUAGAGCCUCUCGGGAGGAUGAGCAAUGAUGGCUGAGAGAGAUGGAGAGGGUUCCCAACUCUUGCACUGGUCUUCUUUCUUCUUUUUUUCUUUAAGGUAUGUUGCUUUGAGGUUGUUGGUGGACCUGUUAAGGUGAUAGAUUUGUCCCUAUUUUCUUUAUCUUGGUUUUUAUGGGAUGUUUUACGCUUAUUAAUUUCACAUUAUGAAAAGAUUGUUUCUUUGUUUUUUUUUUAAAUAUUUUUCUCAUUUUUCUAAUAGAUAUUAUUAUUGCUUCUUAUCCUACUUUCUUCUUUGUAAUGCACUUAAAAUCUAUUUUAUUUGAAGAUGUUCAGAGUUUUUAUGGCGAUA